GACAGAGGGUGCAAACGUUGCUCGGAAUUACUGGGCGUAAAGCGCGUGUAGGUGGAUUGGUGUGUCAGAUGUGAAAUCCCUGGGCUCAACCCAGGAACUGCACCUGAAACUACCAGUCUUGAGUGGUGGAGAGGGAAGUGGAAUUCCUGGUGUAGGGGUGAAAUUCGUAGAUAUCAGGAGGAACACCAGUGGUGAAGGCGGCUUCCUGGACACCAACUGACGCUGAGACGCGAAAGCGUGGGGAGCAAACAGG
rnacentral:rRNA from 1 species